AUAUUUGCAACAGUAUGAUUGUUUAUUUUGUGAUGAACAAGUUGGUCCUAAAAAAUUAUUUUCUUUUCCCUUUAAAAAUUUCAGAACGCAAGCUGUUGCCUUGGAAUAUAAUGAAAAGAAUGAAGCUGUGAAUCAGGAAAGAAAAUAUCAUCAGCAAAUCACAGCUGUGGAACUUGAUGCUUUGAACACGCAAUGGAGAGAGCUAUGUCAGAAAAAUAUAGACAUCCAGGCAGCAUGUGCUAACAUCCAAAAUCAUAUAGACGAGCUAAAAAGAGAAUCUGUUGAUCUUGGACUGAACUUGGACGCGCAGAUGGAGCUUGCUUAGCAGCUCCCGCUAGGUGAUGGGGUGAGUUUCUACUCUACAGAAGAUAUUGGAUGUCUUGUCUUGAAGAUUUACGGUAAUUAGCCAGUUUUUAUGGAGAUAUUUACAUA